rnacentral:rRNA from 1 species
UACGGGGGGGGCAAGCGUUGUUCGGAAUUACUGGGCGUAAAGGGUUUGUAGGUGGCCGGCUAAGUCAGACGUGAAAUCCCUCAGCUUAACUGGGGAACUGCGUCUGGGACUGGUCGGCUUGAGGGUCGGAGAGGAACGCGGAAUUCCAGGUGUAGCGGUGAAAUGCGUAGAUAUCUGGAGGAACACCGGUGGCGAAGGCGGCGUUCUGGACGGCAUCUGACACUGAGAAACGAAAGCCAGGGGAGCAAACGGG